AGUGAACGCUGGCGGUAGGCCUAACACAUGCAAGUCGAACGGCAGCACAGUAAGAGCUUGCUCUUACGGGUGGCGAGUGGCGGACGGGUGAGGAAUACAUCGGAAUCUACUUUUUCGUGGGGGAUAACGUAGGGAAACUUACGCUAAUACCGCAUACGACCUACGGGUGAAAGCAGGGGAUCUUCGGACCUUGCGCGAUUGAAUGAGCCGAUGUCGGAUUAGCUAGUUGGCGGGGUAAAGGCCCACCAAGGCGACGAUCCGUAGCUGGUCUGAGAGGAUGAUCAGCCACACUGGAACUGAGACACGGUCCAGACUCCUACGGGAGGCAGCAGUGGGGAAUAUUGAACAAUGGGCGCAAGCCUGAUCCAGCCAUACCGCGUGGGUGAAGAAGGCCUUAGGGUUGUAAAGCCCUUUUGUUGGGAAAGAAAAGCAGCAGGUUAAUACCCCGCUGUUCUGACGGUACCCAAAGAAUAAGCACCGGCUAACUUCGUG
rnacentral:rRNA from 1 species